rnacentral:rRNA from 1 species
UACGUAGGGUGCGAGCGUUAAUCGGAAUUACUGGGCGUAAAGCGUGCGCAGGCGGUUCGUUAAGUUCGAUGUGAAAGCCCCGGGCUCAACCUGGGAACUGCAUUGGAAACUGGCGAGCUUGAAUGCGGCAGAGGGGGGUGGAAUUCCGCGUGUAGCAGUGAAAUGCGUAGAGAUCGGGAGGAACACCAGUGGCGAAGGCGGUUGCCUGGAGCUUUGCUGACGCUGAGGCGCGAAAGCGUGGGGAGCGAUCCGG